rnacentral:tRNA from 1 species
GGGUCUGUAGCUCAGGUGGUUAGAGCACCGUCUUGAUAAGGCGGGGGNUCGUAGGUUCAAGUCCUACCAGACCCACCA